rnacentral:rRNA from 1 species
GGGUCAGUAGGUUGGUCGUGCCACCGGUACGUACUGGUCUCACUGAUUCCUCCUUCCUGAAGAACCGUAACGCCAUUAAUUUGGUGUUGCGGCGAAACAGGACUGUUACUUUGAAAAAAUUAGAGUGUUUAAAGCAAGCUAACGCUUGAAUACAUUAGCAUGGAAUAAUGAAAUAGGACGAUCGAUCCUAUUUUGUUGGUUUCUAGGAUUGACGUA